UACAGAGGUCUCAAGCGUUGUUCGGAUUCAUUGGGCGUAAAGGGUGCGUAGGCGGCGCGGUAAGUCGGGUGUGAAAUCUCGGGGCUUAACUCCGAAACUGCAUUCGAUACUGCCGUGCUUGAGGACUGGAGAGGAGACUGGAAUUCCUGGUGUAGCGGUGAAAUGCGCAGAUAUCAGGAGGAACACCGGUGGCGAAGGCGGCUUCCUGGACCGACACUGACGCUGAGGCGCGAAAGCUAGGGGAGCAAACGGG
rnacentral:rRNA from 1 species